GACCUUGUGGCCUAACGGACAAGGCGCCUGACUUCGGAUCAGAAGAUUGCAGGUUCGAGUCCUGCCAGGGUCG
rnacentral:tRNA from 1 species